rnacentral:rRNA from 1 species
AACGAACGCUGGCGGCGUGCUUAACACAUGCAAGUCGAGCGGUAAGGCCCUUUCGGGGGUACACGAGCGGCGAACGGGUGAGUAACACGUGGGUAACCUGCCCUCGGUACCGGGAUAGCCCGGGGAAACUCGGAUUAAUACCGGAUGGCCUCUCGAGCUCUCGGGCUCGAAAGAAAAGGUGGCUUCGGCUUCCGACCGAGGAUGGGGCCCGCGGCCGAUUAGCUUGUUGGUGGGGUAACGGCUCACCAAGGCGACGAUCGGUAGCUGGUCUGAGAGGACGAUCAGCCACACUGGGACUGAGACACGGCCCAGACUCCUACGGGAGGCAGCAGUGGGGAAUCUUGCGCAAUGGGCGAAAGCCUGACGCAGCGACGCCGCGUGCGGGAAGAAGGCC